ACACUUGAGUGGUUUAAGGGGAAACAUUUAAAUGUCUUGGAAUGGCCUAGUCAAAGCCCAGACCUCAAUCCAAUUGAGAAUCUGUGGUAUGACUUAACGAUUGCUGUACACCAGCGGAACCCAUCCAACUUGAAGGAGCUGGAGCAGUUUUGCCUUGAAGAAUGGGCAAAAAUCCCAGUGGCUAGAUGUGCCAAGCUUAUACAAACAUACCCCAAGAGACUUGCAGCUGUAAUUGCUGAAAAAGGUGGCUCUACAAAGUAUUGACUUCACGGGUGUGAAUAGUUAUGCACCCUCAAGUUUUCCUUUUUUUUUUUUUUUUUGUUUGUCACAAAUAAUAUUUUGCAUCUUCAACGUGGUAGGCAUAUUGUGUCAAUAAAAUGAUACCAACCCCCCCCAAAAAAAUAUUUUAAUUCCAGGUUGUAAGGCAAUAAAAAAGGAAAAAUGCCAAGGGGUGAAUACUUUCACAAGCCAUUGUACAACCUUUUGAGUUUUGUCUAUUUCCUGAAGAUGCAUACAACUAUAGUAGACUAUAUUUUGUGGUAUUCUUACUUAAUCUGAUCAUAGGGCAACAGAACAUAAGUAGUUGCCUGUAUAACAUUUUACAGACCUCUACCAUCAUUUAAGAGGUACUUAAUGGUGUUCUACAACUCAAUAAAUUACUUUGCAAUGACCCAGUGUCACAAAUGAUGGCUUCUAUUGAUUGUGCAGCAUAUGCUGGGAUGGCCUUGGAUGUAAUAUGGCUGUGCACAUUGGUAUACUAACAUCAACUAGCCAUGCUGCCUUAUGCUAGUUGUGUUAAACCCAGCUAUACAUUUAUUUCAUUACUGGUAGCUAGCAUGUUUUAUCUAUCAGUGAUUAUUGCUUUGGUGAUUGAUUCGAUGGGUAGUCAUGGAUACAGCACACUACAGAGUACAUAGUCAACAACGUGUGCCUCACCAUGCAAUAAUUACUCCAAAUGCAUCUUCUCGUUAUUUAUGACAUACCUUACAACGUCUGUUGGAAACUGGAAAAGGGAUUUUCCCCCUUCCAUUUUACAGUUAACAAGGUGUGCUGGAGUCAGAGCAGAUCCCUACCAGCUGCAACUCGUCCCAUAAAUCAAGAUCUCUACAAAUACUCAUUCCUGCCACUUCCACUCUGCCAGAUUGUAAUCUCUGCUCAUUACUGCUCUGUCUCUGGCUCCUGUCUCCUGUUUCACAUCUCACCACCCAACCACCUUGCCCUGGAUAUCACUCACCACCACUACCUUGGAUUCCCCUCAGGACCUGUUUCUCUGUUCAACUCAGCCAACUCCAACAUCACUCUACACUUCUGUUUUUUCUGCAACUCACCUGAGCUACCCCGGUUCUGCACUCCAUAUUUCUCUGUGUACAAUAAACAUUUUGGUUCAUUCAUCCCGGCUUCCACUUCUGAGUCCGCUCUUGGGUUCCCCUGUUUUGCUCCGCGUAACAUGUCAUUCUAUACUGAAAACAGGUAGAUUCUGAAAGAUUUUGUUGUUGAUGUGAUAACAAUUUUUAUUUACGCCUCAAUUUAGGAUAAUACUGUUUUUUUAUUUUACUUAAAUUGUAUUAUUUAUGUUGUCUCAUACCAUGCUAAUACACUACCAGGUGUAGCAGUGUGAUGUUGUUCCCCUAGAUUAUGCACCAAGUUGCACACAAGGAUCAGUUCAAAUAGGCCAGGUCAAGAGGGGAUGUUAAUAAUUUGAUAAUGAUAAUAAUUCAAUGUGUGUUUUUUAAAUUACAGCUGCAUAGCUAAUGUCAUUCUUUGGUGUACAAACACUUUUUCAUAUCAAUAUUGUACAUACAUGUGAUUGUAAAAGUUUUGUAUAUUUUGGUUUGGCCCAUCGCGGGUUGUCUGUAUUUCCGUACACCCUUAUUGUUCUCUUUUGCCUGACCUUCGGCAUAGCAAGGUGCCGGAGAGCUGUGACUGCGCCAAGGGCUAAAGUAUUGUGUGUUGUUUUUUCAUGUGCAGGGCAAAUAAAAAUAAUUCAACCAGCAGA